UACGUGAAACCGUUCAGGGGUAAACGGGAGACAUCCUGAAUUCGAAAGGGGUUUUGGAUUCAACGCCUACCGACCGGACGCCGCUAUUCCUCUCCAGAUGGCGCAGGUCGCCCGCAGUGAUUCACUUCGCUCGCGGUGUCGAUUCCGGCGAUCACUCGUUGAGGUGGUGUCGAAACCCGGUACUGGUGGAGUGCACUUCCCCCCUAGUAGAAACGUCGCGACCCGUUGGGUGCCGGUCUAAGGCCCGGGGUGGAGCCCGUGUUGCCUUGUGCGCGCGGACCCCUGGUGACCCGGCCGGCUGCCCGACGGUAUGACCAGAGGAGUCGAUCCGCUGAAUGGAAAACACUGUGUGUGUGAAGCGUCCGGCCCAUUUCCCGAUGCGUGCGAGGUCGGCCCGUCAAGGGCACUGGCCUCCGCGUCUUCGGAUUUGGUGUCCUCGGACCGGAUCAGCACUCCCGUCUGCGACGCCCUUCUUCGGAUGG
rnacentral:rRNA from 1 species